UACGAAGAGUGCAAGCGUUAAUCGGAAUUACUGGGCGUAAAGGGUGCGUAGGCGGUUCGUUAAGUCUGUUGUGAAAUCCCCGGGCUCAACCUGGGAAUGGCAAUGGAUACUGGCGGGCUAGAGUGUGUCAGAGGAUGGUGGAAUUCCCGGUGUAGCGGUGAAAUGCGUAGAGAUCGGGAGGAACAUCAGUGGCGAAGGCGGCCAUCUGGGACAACACUGACGCUGAAGCACGAAAGCGUGGGGAGCAAACAGG
rnacentral:rRNA from 1 species